GUAUGACAUUAAAAAUCUGUUAACGAAGAACAGUAACACUACUAGUGUAUCACAGAUAUCCAUUUAAAACUAGUAAUUAAAUCUAAAUCAUGUUAACUAGAAAUGACAAGACA